CUGGCUCAGGACGAACGCUGGCGGCACGCUUAACACAUGCAAGUCGAACGGUGAAAGUACUUCGGUACUGGAUCAGUGGCGGACGGGUGAGUAACACGUGAGCAAUCUGCCUU
rnacentral:rRNA from 1 species